AGAACGAACGCUGGCGGCAUGCCUAACACAUGCAAGUCGAACGAGACCUUCGGGUCUAGUGGCGCACGGGUGCGUAACGCGUGGGAAUCUGCCCUUCGGUUCGGAAUAACUCAGGGAAACUUGAGCUAAUACCGGAUAAUGACUUCGGUCCAAAGAUUCAUCGCCGAGGGAUGAGCCCGCGUAGGAUUAGCUUGUUGGUGAGGUAAAGGCUCACCAAGGCGACGAUCCUUAGCUGGUCUGAGAGGAUGAUCAGCCACACUGGGACUGAGACACGGCCCAGACUCCUACGGGAGCAGCAGUGGGGAAUAUUGGACAAUGGGCGAAAGCCUGAUCCAGCAAUGCCGCGUGAGUGAUGAAGGCCUAGGUUGAAAGCUUACUUUACCCGGGAUGAUAAUGACGAGUACCGGAAGAAUAACGCCCCGGCUAACUCCGCGCCAGCACGCGC
rnacentral:rRNA from 1 species